UACGGUGGAGGCAAGCGUUGUUCGGAAUUACUGGGCGUAAAGGGCUCGUAGGCGGCCAACUAAGUCGGACGUGAAAUCCCCAGGCUCAACCUGGGAACUGCGUCCGAUACUGGAUGGCUUGAAUUCGGGAGAGGGAUGCAGAAUUCCAGGUGUAGCGGUGAAAUGCGUAGAUAUCUGGAGGAAUACCGGUGGCGAAGGCGGCAUCCUGGACCGACAUUGACGCUGAGGAGCGAAAGCUAGGGGAGCAAACGGG
rnacentral:rRNA from 1 species